CUAACCUGCUAAAUAGUACGUAUGCAAUCUUUAUGCGGAUUACCGUCCUGGUGCUUCGGUGCCGGGAUGGUGCCGCAUAGGCAGGUGGAAACUUCUUAGAGGAACUGGCGUCCGAAAAGGCGCACGAGAAAGAGCAAUAACAGGUCUGUGAUGCCCUAAGAUGUCCGGGGCCGCACGCGUGCUACAAUGACGAUGUCUAUGAGCAUGAUUAACUUGUCUGUAAAGGCCGGUGAAACUGUUCAAUCAUCGUCGUGCCUGGGAUUGGGGUUUGUAAUUAUUCCCCAUGAACCAGGAAUUCCUAGUAAGCACAAGUCACUAGCUUGUGCUGAUUACGUCCCUGCCCUUUGUACACACCGCCCGUCGCUACUACCGAUUGAAUGGGUUAGCGAGGCCAUUGGAUUGGGCUCUUGCGGUUUGCGCUGCAGUUGCCCGAGAAGAUGGCCGAACUUGUUCAUUUAGAGGAAGUAAAAGUCGUAACAAGGUUUCCGUAGGUGAACCUGCGGAAGGAUCAUUA
rnacentral:rRNA from 1 species